AUGCCUUUCUUUAUUUACUUAGAAAAAUAAAACAGGCAGAUCAGUUUAUCAGAGAAUAUUCUUAAAAAUAAGAGAAGCCAUCAGUAUUAAAACAAAGACUCUCUGUUAACAGCUAACAAAACUAUUCCUUUUUUUCUGUUCAGAGUAACACUUCCUACUGUCUUCUCUUAUAGCACUUUGGUAGCAAAAAUUCUCUUCACAAGAAACCCGUGUAAGUACUGUUCCCUCAAAGCAAAAGAUGUCUUUAGUAGCAGUCAGCCUCAUUCUCCUCCACGGUCCCCACAAUAGCAAGGAUGUCCUCUAAGAGGGACUGGGGGCUUUUCUCCACAUAAUCACUACCUUUUUUUAGGUCACUGUGUAGUUCCACUAAGUUUAUCGUUCCCAAAGCUAACAUCAUGCUCUCUGGAUCUUGAAAGUCCACUUCACUACCAUCACCUGUGGGGAAGUUCUGGACCAGAGAACCCUGCCUUAGUGUCCUUUGUAACCAAUGAAUGCCAUGUCCUGCAGGUAAGUCUCCAGUCCCUUGUGAAUCUGUGGUGCUACUCUGAUAGAACUGAGAUUUUAAGGAAAGCAAUAUAUCACAGGCUUUCUGAGCCACUGGCUUGUCACAGUCACACAAAGACCGAAACAAGAAGCUGAACAGGUUUGCUCGGCAAAACAUCUGCAGUGGCUUGUUCUCAUGAACGGAACUAGUGACUGCAGGUGAGACAGGAGCAUAAUAGCAUUCAGGAAGGCCAAGUUGGCAAAACAUAUAGGUACAGAAAAUUUGAACCAGUUCCAAACAACCAAGUUUGACUUCCCAGUCUAAGUCACGUGCUGCAGUCUGGACCACCGCAGUGACGAACUGCUCUGUCUCUUCCGGUUUACCCGUGCAGCUCUCUUUCACCCACAUGGUGAAGACGCUCAUCACAGCUCUCCUAGGAAAGACCUCUGGGUCUGUGGACAAGACUUCUUGAAGCUUUGCCGCAGUUUUCUAAGUGUAAAAAGACAAAGGAGGAAAGGAACAUUACAAACAGACAAAAAAAGCACAACAAAAAAACAGGGGAACAAUGUGUAGUUCUGCUCGUGUCUGCAGUGGAUUACACAAAGCCGUACCUCUUUAUUAUACCGGCUCCCUGCAACACGUGACUGUGGAACAAAGACAUAAAUAAUGUAGGCCAGCUGCCCCAUAGCCGUCACAGCGCUCGCUCGCACGUAGCUCUCUGGAUCCUCAAGAAGGUUUUCUAUACGCUUUGGCAUCUCCGAAAACAGGAGAAACUUCCUGAAAUCCCUACGGUCUGUAAACGAGACAGCAAUGCAAAGAAGUGAGGCUUUAUUCUCUCGGAGCAUGAACUCGUUUCCAAUGCAAACAGUGAUUUGUGUCAUACGAGGAUGAUCGCUGACUGCAGGGCAGCUGACAGUGAACGGAGCUGCUGCUCACAGGAGCACGGACACUUUCUGGCAGGCUCCUCACUUUGCAGCAGCUUGGUGAAUUCCAGCCGUGUUUGACACUAGAGUUUGGAAAAAUGCAUUUACAGUUGUUUCUAUUGGUGAGAAAUAAUUUGCUCCAGGUAAAUCGGAGUGUCGUUUCAGCCCCAUCAAGCAACUUUUGUUUAAGGGAGAAAGAAAAAAAAGGUCAUCCCUUACUGCUGUCAAGCCACACAACAUAGUUUAAUUUGCUGAAGCUGUCAUUAAGGAGGACACAGCAACUCAAAUUCAACAGAAUAGUGGCAUAUGUUUAUGAAUCUUUUUGACAGAUUUUGACUGUGACCUGAAAGUAAAAAUCUCAACUUAUCUUUUCCUUCCUUCCUUCCUUCCUUCCCCCUGCAGUUACAGGUCAGAGGAUGCUCCACAGGCCUGACUGACUUUCACAACAUUACAAGAAACAGUCCUCCAAUCUGAACCAUUAAAUCUCUGCACAUACCUGCCAGGGUUCUUAUCAAGCUGGUGAAGAACUCCAGAGAAGAGUCUCGUACUUCCCAGCAAGGACUGCACAAACGCUUCUGCAGCACCAGGAACACCUCUGUGAAAACCAAGCAGGAGGGGGGAAUUGAGAUGAAAGGGAGAAGAUGCCACUGGAUUUCUCAGGUGCACAACAGAUGAGGCAACACCUUAAACAGCAAUAAGGCAGAGUCCAACUGGAUACAUGGGAAAAUACUUUUCAUAGUGAGACUGUAAGGAACUGGAACUGGUUUCCCAGAGCAGUUAUGGAAUCCCCAUCCUUUGGGAUAUUUGAAACUGUAUUGGUGAAGGCCCUGAGCAACCCAAUCCAUCUCUAAACGCAGUCCUGCAACGUAUAAGAAGUCAGAUUAGAUCACCUAUACUGCUUUCUUCUAAAUUAAGUUUUCCUACUGUUGACAGAGAUGCACGAUGUGUGCAAGAUGCACACUUCUGUUGCACAGCGGUUCAAGUUGUUACACUUAGUGCUCAUGUGAAAAGUAACCAAAUACUUCUAAAUUUGACAGUCAAAAUAUCCAUCUUAAACAACCUUGGCCUUAAAAAGUUAAAGGAGCUUUGAAUUUCUGUCCGAAAUUGCUGUCUGUAGGUAAGAUACAAAAGCAUGUGUGUGAACAUGA